UACGUAGGUGGCGAGCGUUGUCCGGAUUUACUGGGCGUAAAGGGAGCGUAGGCGGACCUUUAAGUGAGAUGUGAAAUACUCGGGCUCAACUUGAGUGCUGCAUUUCAAACUGGGAGUCUAGAGUGCAGGAGAGGAGAAUGGAAUUCCUAGUGUAGCGGUGAAAUGCGUAGAGAUUAGGAAGAACACCAGUGGCGAAGGCGAUUCUCUGGACUGUAACUGACGCUGAGGCACGAAAGCGUGGGGAUCAAACAGG
rnacentral:rRNA from 1 species